GAGGAACACAAAGAACACAAGCAAGGGUAGUCGAAGCUACCUCCACAGCAAGACACGGUAUUUUUCCCGAGGUUCGGCAAUCUCCACUUAGGAGUACCUACGUCCCCGUUGUUGAGGUGACCACGAAGGUCUGACCACUUAGGUCUCCUCCUCAAGCAACCACAAAGGUUAGCUUGAUGUUUCCACUAAGAAUCAAAGGGUAAUACAAACACUUCGGGGUGCCCUCACAAAUGAGUCAACACGGGCAACCACGAAGAACGCCUAGCCGGCUAGGGUUCCAAGAACCCAAGAGUAACAAACACAAACCAAACCGGCAAGACGAGGAACGGAGUGCUCAAGUCGCAGAUCGAUGCUCCCAACUCUCUAAUCUCACUUCUCUAGCUCG
rnacentral:lncRNA from 1 species